rnacentral:lncRNA from 1 species
UCACUCGGGUUGUGCCCUUGUGAAAUUAUUACACCCAACGUAUAACCGCCCAUCGUGCAUAAAUAGUGUUAAAGCACACUUUUGCUAUAAAUUAUUUUUUUAAAUAUGUUUAAAUUAAUCAACAUUUGUUACAGAAAUUAGUUUCUUUCAGAAGUAUUAGAAUUUCUUAGGCAUUUUUCAGAAAUAAAUUAUGUGGUAGAAAUGUGUUUUUGGUUUGAGAUAACUGAGAACAGACAAAACUGUUAUUACAGGGUAUCAGGAACAACAGUUAAAACUGUUAAAUUGCAGAGGUUUGUCUGCACCAAGUAACAGUUCUAAUGUCAUCUGUGCUAUCUCAGACAGUACUUUUGACCUGUUCCCCCAAGCAUCUGCCAUAAAUAACGAUUUAUGUAUUUUGUUAGUUAUUAUAUAUAAGUUAUUACUCUAGAAAUGACUAGACUGUUUCCCUGUAAAACUAUAUAUUAGUGUUAUUUAUAGACAAUAUUUUUAACUCACUAGAAGAUUGCUUAUUAUCUCUGCCAAAUAUUUACAAAUGUCAGUGAAAAUUGGAGACAGUGUUUAAUGAUAAUUUCAUGUUAAUAAAAUAGAACAUUGAUAACAAUUGGAUGUGAGUUCUUUGAGCUAUAAUAGUUACAAUAAGUUUACUGUAAAUUCUAGAAGGGACCUCUGUGGCCCUUCACGGCUGUGGGUUCGAAAUCUUGCUUUAGGUUAAGAAUUCAUUCAUGUGAGGAAGCCAUCCAGCAAGCUUGUGGAAGUUUGAUGGUUGUGUGAAGGUGUCCGCCUGAGACAGUGUUCACCUUGAGUGUUCUACCACCAUGAAAAGCUGGAAAUUCACCGUAUAACCUGUAUUUGUGUCAGAGGGAUGUUAAACCAAACAAGUACAAAUAUCCAAAUUUAAACAGUCACAUAAUCAGUAAAUUCCUAAUGACUGCAGUACACUAUAAAGAGUUGAACUGAGGAAAUUCAGAUAAUUAUAUAUAUUCAAUUUUCAACUCUGUUCAGUUGAGAUGGAACAUCCUUUGAUAUUUUACAUGUAUCACCAGGAAAUUUCUCAUCAGGCUUGUGACAUAACUAAUGACAUCACAUUAAUGGCUGUUUGGGCAGUCAGAAGUGCAUUAAUUCCAUUAUUAUUCAGUUCAGCCAGAUGAACAAAAUACAUGUGAUUUUAUCAUGAUUUUAUCAAUUAAGAUGAAUACAUAUACAGUCUAACCUGUUUAUAGUGGCGUAUUGGUUUAUAAUAAUGCACACAUUUUGUAUUAUGUUACUUAUAAAAGAUUUGUUAAAACUAGGGAUGGCAACAGUUAACCGGUUAACCAAGUACUCGCUCAGUGUUCGAGUAUUGAUUACGAAAUUUAGUAUACAUCAGUUGCUUUUUUUGUUUUGAUAUUUUGAUUAUCUUAUGUUAUUACGGGACAUAAAAAGUUACUUCUAAUAUAUCAAUAACUUGUUAUCAUCUGUGUUGUUUACAUUCUCGAGUUUUCCCUUUUGCACAAAGUAAUUAUUUACAACUGCAUUCAACAACUAAAAAAUGGUUUUGAAACAUUAUAUCACUGCUUAUGGGAGCAAUGGUGAAACAGCUAAUGAUUUAAAAUUAUCUCCCUUUAAUAGUGAACAUAUGCUCAAUACAACUGAUUCUCGCCUAUUCCGGUUAUAGAAACCACUUUUAACAAGUAACUGUGUACUCUGUCUAAAAAAUCGGCGAGUACUUCGAGUACCAAAAUGGUACUUGUUGCCAUCCCUAGAUAAAAUUGAUACUAUACAAUAUUUGCCUUUUGGUGAGGUUGAUACAUGUAUGUAGAUUUAUUGACCAAAAGUGAUGUCGACCGAUGGCGCAGUCAGAAGUUGAUAUUGCUUUUAUCGGGUCGAGCGAACCUAACAAUUGUUUUAUUAUUAAAUCCGGCCUACUUAUAAGUAUUUCCCAAUACGGUGCUUCUAGUGAUUUUUUGUUACUGCAUAAAUAAUAAGGUUUCAAUAAUUUAUCAUAAAAUCCAGUAGUGGUACAAUGCUAAAAUUGCCAAGCUUAUGAAAAAUUUUAAUUAACAGUUAUAUUGGAACAGUUGUGAUACACAGGCAUGGGACACAUGGGCCUUUUGUAUAUUUAUCAUUUUCAUUGACCUGUGGGAGACUGCAGUUACCCUGUUUUACUUCGUAGUUUGGGUAUGAUCAAGGAGUCAACAUUCUCACUAUCCUGAUAAACUGAAGUUCAUUGAGUUAAUCAUUCGACUGUGAACUAGUGAGUGGUUCUAGAGUUACCAAAUUUAUAUCAAAUUCAGCAGCAGAAUCAAAUGUCUGUAAAAAUCACCGAGUAAUAGGUUCAGGUCAUGUUUUUGCAAGUUUUUGAAUGCAUCUGACAACUAUUUACUCCUUAAAUAGUCCUUGAAACACCUUACUGCUGUUUCUGUGGCACGUUUAGUAUUUGCUGCAUCUGUAUUCAAUAGAAUUUCUUGUUUUUCUGCUUCUGACAGGUUAGCAGAAUUGUUUUCGGUACGGUCAGUACGUACUUUAGGCUCAUCACACUAGUCAAUACAGAUCAUGUGACUGUGUUUAAACCAAAAAAUUCAAUUUAAUAAUAAAUUAUUAUAUUAUAGUGUAAAAACACACAAUUUACAUGUAUUUUAUGGGGUGCAUUCCUCUGGAGUGAAUAAUAUCUUACAAAUGAAUUUUGAUUGUAACAGUAACACCUAUACCACUAUAUUGAUAAAUAUGCUUUGGAAAUGUUUUGCAAUGUUUUUAAUUUGCUGUUAUUGAUGCAUAAAAUAUUUUGCUUUGUGGCAGUCUCAUGCAAAUUAAGCAUGUUGCUAAGAAAAUAAUUAUUUACUCAAACUAACAAAUUUAUUCAUUAAAUCACACCAUUUUUGAUGUUUAGACUAUUAAAAUACCCUGGGACAUUUUUUAUGCAGUACAGUAGGACAAAUUGCACCAUAUUACUUUACCACAUAAGAAAUUUCUUACGUGACUGUUAUAGUGUAUUUCACUGACCUCUACUGGCUCAACAGUUGACAAUGUUUGACAGGGUCAUGCUAUAUAAAGGGCUAACUUAACGGGAAUUCUAACAGAUGGACCAGAAGGUGACCGUUAUAAGUAUGGUGACAGCUAUUAAAGGUUUGACUGUAGCACAGAAAGUUGGAGAAUUAUGCACUUGUUCUUUUGUGGAUAAAUGUUAUGCAGAUUUUGUUGUGCCACUAAAACCUUGCAGUAUUUCCCCAGCAGAACUCGUACAUAUUUCUUCAUUCAAAUCUGAUAAUUAUUUACUAAUAUAAUCUGCAGAUGGCAGUAUUUCCCACCUAGUGGCAUACCCCAAAUUGCACUCAUUUUGUUACUUUUUAUUUUAGAGUUAACUCAAUGUAAUUGUCAUGGAUCAAUAAAUUUAUGUUUGAUUGUUAUUGGUGUAAUUUUUUAUUAUUUAUAUGAAAUGGUUAGUGAAUAGUGUAUCCAAAUUUUAUAGAAAUAUGUCAGUUUUUGACUGAGAUUAAACAUAAAAAAGUGUGGCAUUGUUAAGUAUAAUUAUGAAAGUUGUUAUUUUUUGCAGUCAGACAUUUGAUUCCAGCAGUUCGUUAACAUGAAAUGUUAAGGAGAAAUUUGCAUCCAUUUAUAUGUAAUGAUUGACCAUGACGUUAUGUGCCAUUUUGUAAUUAAUUAAUUGUUUUGCUCACCAGAGUACAACUUGCUCAAGUGAGCUGUUGUACCACUCACAUCUAAAGCAAUAUGGUUGAAGUUGUUGAAACUUGACAUGGAUGUUCCUUGGGCUGUCUUCUUUCAAAUUUGUUUAAAGAAAUCUAUUUCAAGCAGAACUCUGUUUGCCAUGACAAUGGAAAAUUAAAAAACUGCUGGCCUGAUUUAGGCCACCAUGUCUUAAGAACUUUCAUAAUAGUUAUUUUAAUUUUUCGAAAAACAUGGCCACUAAAGUAAAAAUAGAAAUAUCUUCAAAUGCUAUCUCCUAAUGAAUUUUGUUUAAAUUCACAGAAAUAUUCCUUCGGUGACUACUAAUGUAGACUUUUGUCUGAUAAUUUUUGCUUGAGUAAACCCAUUUUAACUUUAUGUAUUAUUCUUUCAAGCAUUGUAAGUGGGCAUGUGUAAUACAUUGUUGAUAUUAUUCUCAGUUUAUGCCUGACUGUUUGAAAUAUUUAAAACAGUGUACUUUUGUAAUCACCCUUUUGUUGGUACGUAAUGCAGACACUCUACCACAUCGCUUUAAAUGCUAUCUCAGUAGCAAAGAAGUAUAAGUGCACCCAUAUAAUCUACACUAUUACAUACACCCCACAAUUUUGAACUCCAGUUGAUCCUCUUUGGGAUGUUCCUAGGUAUCCAUGCAACCACUUAACAACUAACAAAUGACAUAACAUUUUAGUGAGAGAUGUUCAUUUGAUAUCUUUAAAGUGAACUGUUUAGAAAGAAUUGUAAAUUUCAAAACAGAAACAUUUCAAGCCAGUAUUUUAAAUUUGUGAAUAUGAGUAAGUAUAAAGGUAAAAUAUUGGCUGUAAAAGCUUCAUUUCAUGGCAAGAAUCAAAUUGACCACUUUUAUAUAAUGCUUUAAUGAAUUGUUGUUAGUGCCUUGAUUUCUGUAUUGGUAGUUAAAACAUUAUAUUUAUUUUGUCCUUUGAAAUAAAUGUUUCAGAGUUGUUGAA